CAAUUUUUUUUUUAAAAUUUUAUUUAAUAUAGUUCAGAGCUUACAAGCUCCCAGCAAGGGACGUGAGAGUUACAAGAGACAAUACAAAUCCAGAGAGCAAUAACACAAACAAUAUAGAACAAGAAGGAAAUUAUUAUCCUCUAGGUCCAAGAACUUGCAUCCUAAUUAUUAAAGCUAGAUUAGUAAAAUUGCGUAUAAGGUUAUUUAAUUAAAUUACAAUAAAAAUAAUGAAAGUAACUUAAUUAUUGUAUUAAAAAAAGUUUUAUUCAAUACUCAUAAUAUAGUACAUAAUAUUUCUUCAUAUAAUGACCAAAUUGCAAAUUUAUUGCUUAUUACUCUCUGGAUCAUGGCCACUCGUUGCGGUUUGGUUUAGGUAGAUAAAAGCUGAACAGGAAUAGAAAGAGAUGUCAAUUACAAGCAGAAUGGGUUUGUUUUACCAAGGUAAAGGUAUAGCAGUGGUGGCUCUUGGCGGCAACAAUUUCGACGACUCCGGCGGCAACAUUCAUGGCCCCAGAGACUCCGGCAACCAAUGGAAAAUUAAAAGCAGAAGCAAAACAGAACAAUCCCUUCUCCGGUGACUUCCUCCACCUGCAACGGAGGCAACCGCAAUGACAGUAGAAGAACAGAAGGCUGGCUCUAUCUCGCGGUGGUGGAAGGCAGCAGCAUCUCGGCGACGAGAUCCAGCAGAGCUCCCCUUUCUCUCUCCCGUUUGCGCCCUCCUUCUCUGCCCUGUUUGGUGACGACGAUGGCCUCAACCGGGACGGCGACGGUCUCGAUCAACGGCAGCAGCGGCGACGGGAACAACGACGACGACAGGACUCCAUCCUUCCUCUUCUCCGUCGCGCGCUUUCCUCUUUCUCCAUGGAAGGUCUGCGAUCUCACUCUCAUCUCUCUCGUGCGUCUCUUCUUUUCUCCGCAACGACAACAGCUGCGCCUAGCCCCGCCGGCAUCGUCUCUUCCCUCUUCUUCCUUUCUUCUUCAAUCGCUCCCCCUCUGAUUUCUGUUCUCCUCCCUUUCUCUCUUUCUUUCUCCUGUUGGUGGGUGUAUGUGUUGUAAUGAAAUUAGGAUAAAAUUAGGGAUUUUUGGAUUAGGAUUGAAGUUGGAAACAGAAGGGUAAAAAUAGGUUAGGAAUUUUAAUAAAAUUAGAGGGGAGGAUGGUCAUAAAAAAAAAAAAGCUUGGGACGUGACAACAUUCUUCCAAAGGAACUAAUCUGUGGUAUCUGCCUUAUUCCGUAAUUUCGUUUUUUAAAUUCUUUUUUGGUAUCGGAGGCAGUUUUUGAGGCUGGGUUCUGUGGUUUUCUAUGUCUGGAAGAAGUUCGGAAGUUUAACUAAGAAAAUCCCUCUUUCAUAAUCAAGCUAGUGAAAAGUAAUCUACAGAGAUCAAGGGCUAAUUUUAAAGCUUCCUUCUACACAAAGUAUUUUGAAAACAAGGAGCAGAAUGUAGAGAUUCAGUACAAAGGAAAGUUGUGGCCUGCAAAGUUGCUCUGUUAUCCCGUAGCAGCAGCUGCCUAUAUCUCGAAUGGUUGGCGGCCUUUUAGUCUUGAGAAUGAUUUAAAAGUUGGAGAUGUUUGUGUCUUUGAGCUCAUUAAUGGAGAAAAUCCAGUGCUUGAUGCUCAUAUUUAUAGAGCCAAUGGUUAAGCAAUCCAUUAGAACUUCAGGAGCUCUUAAUAAACCAAGUAAUUUGGUAAAUAUGUAGCACUUAUUUUGUAAAAUUGAAAAUCUACUAUGGACAAUCUCUCUUGUAAAUAUUGUCUCUUGUUUUAUCAUUUUAGUGAAGAUGUAGCUCUUAUUUUUCCCGGACCAAAUACACCUUGAAAAAUAUGCAUAUUCUCAUA